rnacentral:snoRNA from 1 species
UCCCAGAAACAGUGAUGUGAUUUCCAAGCACAUAUCUGAUGGUUCCGUGUGGAAGUUAGCUACUGAGUUUCCUGGGC